rnacentral:rRNA from 1 species
UACGUAGGCAGCGAGCGUUGUUCGGAGUUACUGGGCGUAAAGGGCGUGCAGGCGGUCUGUUAAGUUCAGGGUGAAAGCUCCCGGCUCAACUGGGAGAGGUCCUUGGAUACUGGCGGACUUGAGGGAGGUAGAGGAGAGUGGAAUUCCCGGUGUAGUGGUGAUAUGCGUAGAUAUCGGGAGGAACACCAGUGGCGAAGGCGGCUCUCUGGGCCUUUCCUGACGCUGAGACGCGAAAGCGUGGGGAGCGAACCGG